GGGGGUAUAGCUCAGAGGUAGAGCGUUCGACUUACGAUCGAAAGGUCCCUGGUUCAAAUCCGGGUACCCCUG